CUGAACCCUUAGCACCCAGAAUGGUGUUUGGCACAUAAUAAGCAUUCAAGAAAGAUUUAUAGGAAGGAAGAAAGGAAGAGAGGGAGAAGACACGGAGGGAAGAGAGGAAAAAAGAGAUGGAAAGAAGGAGCUUAUACAUUUGCACUUUUCCAGAGGCUGGAAGGAAUAGGGGAGCUUUACAGGUUCACUUGUUACUUUCAAACUCAGGAAAAAGUGAGUAGAGCUUAUUCUGUAGACUACCAGAAAAGUGUCCAUUUUCUUUCUUGGGGGCACCCAGCAUAGAAAUUAACCCAGAUGGAUGUGGUAGAGAGUUUAUUUCAAGUUGAGUCAUAGUAAUUCCCUAGAAAUGUGUAAAGAAUAUUUCAUCUUUGAGGCAUUUUAGAAAUGAGUUAUUCCUUAAAACAUCUCUUGCAGGUAGAAGAUGCAUUGUUAAUUUUGCUACUUGGAGGAGAAUGUCGAAAUGGAGUGGCUAAGCAGCUUAGCCAAGGCCCCGAGUCAAGACUGCUGAUUUUGAUGGCCGUCCAGCAGCUGUAGGGAAAAUCUGACAAGUGGAAAGAAAAAAACAAAGACAGUCCAGCAGGAAGAAGCAUCGCUUCCUGAACUGCCUGUUACCAAGGCAAGCAGACGCUAAUUUGGUCAGCGAGGAUAUGCAGAUUCCAUUAUCCUAAAUGAGUGACUGGAGCCAUCCAGGUCUUCCCCCACCUUCACGCCACGGGGCCUUCAAACCUCA
rnacentral:lncRNA from 1 species